rnacentral:rRNA from 1 species
GACGAACGCUGGCAGCGUGCUUAACACAUGCAAGUCGAACGGAAAGGCCCUGCUUUUGUGGGGUGCUCGAGUGGCGAACGGGUGAGUAACACGUGAGUAACCUGCCCUUGACUUUGGGAUAACUUCAGGAAACUGGGGCUAAUACCGGAUAGGAGCUCCUGCUGCAUGGUGGGGGUUGGAAAGUUUCGGCGGUUGGGGAUGGACUCGCGGCUUAUCAGCUUGUUGGUGGGGUAGUGGCUUACCAAGGCUUUGACGGGUAGCCAGCCUGAGAGGGUGACCGGCCACAUUGGGACUGAGAUACGGCCCAGACUCCUACGGGAGGCAGCAGUGGGGAAUAUUGCACAAUGGGCGGAAGCCUGAUGCAGCAACGCCGCGUGCGGGAUGACGGCCUUCGGGUUGUAAACCGCUUUCGCCUGUGACGAAGCGUGAGUGACGGUAAUGGGUAAAGAAGCACCGGCUAACUACGUG